rnacentral:piRNA from 1 species
UGAAGCCCACAAGUUCAGCAGCAG